rnacentral:rRNA from 1 species
UACGUAGGGGGCAAGCGUUGUCCGGAAUUAUUGGGCGUAAAGAGCUCGUAGGCGGUUUGUCGCGUCGAAUGUGAAAACCCGGGGCUCAACCCCGGGCCUGCAUUCGAUACGGGCAGACUAGAGUUCGGUAGGGGAGUCUGGAAUUCCUGGUGUAGCGGUGAAGUGCGCAGAUAUCAGGAGGAACACCGGUGGCGAAGGCGGGACUCUGGGCCGAUACUGACGCUGAGGAGCGAAAGCGUGGGGAGCAAACAGG